rnacentral:rRNA from 1 species
AGGGGAUCGUAAGACCUUGCGCUAUUGGAUGAGCCGAAGUCGGAUUAGCUAGUUGGUGAGGUAACGGCUCACCAAGGCGACGAUCCGUAGCUGGUCUGAGAGGACGACCAGCCACACUGGGACUGAGACACGGCCCAGACUCCUACGGGAGGCAGCAGUGGGGAAUAUUGGACAAUGGGGGCAACCCUGAUCCAGCGACGCCGCGUGUGUGAAGAAGGCCUGCGGGUUGUAAAGCACUUUUAGUGGGGAUGAAAAGCUCAGGGCUAAUACCUCUGGGUCUUGACCUAACCUACAGAAUAAGCACCGGCUAACUCUGUGCCAGCAGCCGCGGUAAUACAUAGGGUGCGAGCGUUAAUCGGAAUUACUGGGCGUAAAGCGUGCGUAGACGGUUUCGUAAGUCAGAUGUGAAAUCCCCGGGCUCAACCUGGGAAUUGCGUUUGAAACUACA